GGCAGGUCUGAAGGCAGUGAGUUAUCGCAACUGAUUGUUCACAAUCAGUUAUAGAUCAAACUUCUUGUUUUAUUCUUUCCUUCUUCAUACUACUACACUUGAAUAGUCUUAA
rnacentral:Y_RNA from 1 species